rnacentral:rRNA from 1 species
UACGUAGGGUGCAAGCGUUGUCCGGAAUUAUUGGGCGUAAAGAGCUCGUAGGCGGUUUGUCGCGUCGGCUGUGAAAUCUCGGGGCUCAACCCCGAGCCUGCAGUCGAUACGGGCAGACUAGAGUGCUGUAGGGGAGACUGGAAUUCCUGGUGUAGCGGUGAAAUGCGCAGAUAUCAGGAGGAACACCGGUGGCGAAGGCGGGUCUCUGGGCAGUAACUGACGCUGAGGAGCGAAAGCGUGGGGAGCAAACAGG